AGCUUGAUUUUUUCAAUUCUCAAAAAUAAUAUAUAUAUAUAUAUAUAUAUAUAGAAUUAGGCUGGAAUACUAUUAUCUAUAGAAUUAGUCAAAAAUAAUAUAUAUAUAUAUUACUUAGUGGGUAUUAAAAUUUGAGAUGUGCUAGAUAGUUGACUGGAUAUGCUGCAUUUUAUGCAUUUCUCUUCAUGUAGAGGGAUAAAUAAGUUGCG
rnacentral:lncRNA from 1 species